rnacentral:rRNA from 1 species
AUUGAACGCUGGCGGCAUGCCUUACACAUGCAAAUCGAACGGUAACGGGCCUUCGGGUGCCGACGAGUGGCGAACGGGGGAGUAAUACAUCGGAACGUGCCCGAUCGAGGGGGAUAACGAGGCGAAAGCUUUGCGAAUACCGCAAACGAUCUACGGAGGACAGCAGGGGACCGCAAGGCCUUGCGCGGACGGAGCGGCCGAUGGCAGAUUAGGUAGUUGGUGGGGUAAAAGCUUACCAAGCCGACGAUCUGUAGCUGGUCUGAGAGGAUGAUCAGCCACACUGGGACUGAGACACGGCCCAGACUCCUACGGGAGGCAGCAGUGGGGAAUUUUGGACAAUGGGCGCAAGCCUGAUCCAGCCAUGCCGCGUGCAGGAUGAAGGCCUUCGGGUUGUAAACUGAUUUUGUACGGAACGAAAAGCCUUCUUUUAAUACAGGAGGGUCAUGACGGUACCGUAAGAAUAAGCACCGGCUAACUACGUG